AACCCUUUGUGACUUAUACCUAUUGUUGCCUCGGCGAAGGCCGGCCUCUCUUCUGAGGCCCCCCGGAAACGGGGAGCAGCCCGCCGGCGGCCAACCAAACUCUUGUUUCUUAGUGAAUCUCUGAGUAAAAAACAUAAAUGAAUCAAAACUUUCAACAACGGAUCUCUUGGUUCUGGCAUCGAUGAAGAACGCAGCGAAAUGCGAUAAGUAAUGUGAAUUGCAGAAUUCAGUGAAUCAUCGAAUCUUUGAACGCACAUUGCGCCCUCUGGUAUUCCGGAGGGCAUGCCUGUUCGAGCGUCAUUUCAACCCUCAAGCCUGGCUUGGUGUUGGGGCACUGCUUCGAGAGAAGCAGGCCCUGAAAUCUAGUGGCGAGCUCGCUAGGACCCCGAGCGUAGUAGUUAUAUCUCGUUCUGGAAGGCCCUGGCGGCGCCCUGCCGUUAAACCCCCAACUUCUGAAAUUUUGACCUCGGAUCAGGUAGGAAUACCCGCUGAACUUAAGCAUAUCAUA
rnacentral:rRNA from 1 species